rnacentral:rRNA from 1 species
UACGGAGGGAGCUAGCGUUAUUCGGAAUUACUGGGCGUAAAGCGCACGUAGGCGGCUUUGUAAGUAAGAGGUGAAAGCCCGGAGCUCAACUCCGGAACUGCCUUUUAGACUGCAUCGCUUGAAUCCAGGAGAGGUGAGUGGAAUUCCGAGUGUAGAGGUGAAAUUCGUAGAUAUUCGGAAGAACACCAGUGGCGAAGGCGGCUCACUGGACUGGUAUUGACGCUGAGGUGCGAAAGCGUGGGGAUCAAACAGG